rnacentral:tRNA from 1 species
GGGCGGAUGUCCCAAGUGUAUC